CAGAAGACUGGACAGGGCAACAGGAGUGCGUGCAGACAGAGGAAUCAUCUUUGGAAAUCGACUGUUUGCUAGAUUAUUUUUCUUCUGGCUGGACUGCUGCUGAGGGAACUGACCAGAGUUUUAAUCAUUGGAUGCAACGGAACCAAGGUUCGAGGUCCAGCAUCCGGGUCCGGAGAUACUUAACAGUCAGCGUGGAGGGUCAAGGUCCAGCACAGGUCUACAGUGUGCCACAUUGGGGUUCCAGGAAUGGCGGUUCAUCGAAGGUGUUGGCCGGUCAGCAGUUGGAGCGUGGUGAAGUCUGCGGCGGGUUCGGGCUGUGAGGGAAGCGGGGUCUCUUGGGGACCUCCCGGAGCUAUCGGAGACUGAGUCCUUCUUUUUGGCUUAUCCGCCAUUUUGGACAGUAACCUUUUCUUUUAUUAGAGAACGACCAACAGGAGGGGACUGCCUGGUGUGGUUUUUAUUUUUUGUGGCUUUCCCUAUCUUUUGUUUUUUUUAAACUUGUUGCUGUGUGGUUUUUAGUAUUCUAUUUUAACCCUGUUGAGAAACAAUAAAAAUUGUUUUUACUUAUCCAAGCUCCAGUGUGUGCAUAUUGGAA